GUGAAUCAUCAAAUCUUUGAACGCAAAUUGCACUCUCUGGUAUUCCGGAGAGUAUGCCUGUUUGAGGGUCAGUUUAAAUAAAAAUCGGUGUGGUUGCUGCCUUUCGUGGUGACGUACCGGAUUUGGGUCGUCUUGUCUUCGGUUCAGGGACCUAAAAUUUUGCAUGAUUUUUUUCGAACGUAUUGACAUGAUUUUACGGACGUUUGCGAUAUCGGAUACUAGGUGUGGAUA
rnacentral:misc_RNA from 1 species